CGCUGGCGGCGUGCUUAACACGAUGCAAGUCGAACGGUAAGGCCCUUCGGGGUACACGAGUGGCGAACGGGUGAGUAACACGUGGGUGAUCUGCCCUGCACUUCGGGAUAAGCCUGGGAAACUGGGUCUAAUACCGGGAUAGGACUCCUGGCUUCGAUGGUUGGGGGUGUAAAGCUUUUGCGGUGUGGGAUGGGCCCGCGGCCUAUCAGCUUGUUGGUAGGGUAAUGGCCUACCAAGGCGACGACGGGUAGCCGGCCUGAGAGGGUGACCGGCCACACUGGGACUGAGAUACGGCCCAGACUCCUACGGGAGGCAGCAGUGGGGAAUAUUGCACAAUGGGCGCAAGCCUGAUGCAGCGACGCCGCGUGAGGGAUGACGGCCUUCGGGUUGUAAACCUCUUUCAAUAGGGACGAAGCGCAAGUGACGGUACCUAUAGAAGAAGGACCGGCCAACUACGUG
rnacentral:rRNA from 1 species